AGAGUUUGAUUAUGGCUCAGAUUGAACGCUGGCGGCAGGCCUAACACAUGCAAGUCGAGCGGUAGAGAGGUGCUUGCACCUCUUGAGAGCGGCGGACGGGUGAGUAAUGCCUAGGAAUCUGCCUGGUAGUGGGGGAUAACGCUCGGAAACGGACGCUAAUACCGCAUACGUCCUACGGGAGAAAGCAGGGGACCUUCGGGCCUUGCGCUAUCAGAUGAGCCUAGGUCGGAUUAGCUAGUUGGUGGGGUAAUGGCUCACCAAGGCGACGAUCCGUAACUGGUCUGAGAGGAUGAUCAGUCACACUGGAACUGAGACACGGUCCAGACUCCUACGGGAGGCAGCAGUGGGGAAUAUUGGACAAUGGGCGGAAGCCUGAUCCAGCCAUGCCGCGUGUGUGAAGAAGGUCUUCGGAUUGUAAAGCACUUUAAGUUGGGAGGAAGGGCAUUAACCUAAUACGUUAGUGUUUUGACGUUACCGACAGAAUAAGCACCGGCUAACUCUGUGCCAGCAGCCGCGGUAAUACAGAGGGUGCAAGCGUUAAUCGGAAUUACUGGGCGUAAAGCGCGCGUAGGUGGUUCGUUAAGUUGGAUGUGAAAUCCCCGGGCUCAACCUGGGAACUGCAUUCAAAACUGUCGAGCUAGAGUAUGGUAGAGGGUGGUGGAAUUUCCUGUGUAGCGGUGAAAUGCGUAGAUAUAGGAAGGAACACCAGUGGCGAAGGCGACCACCUGGACUGAUACUGACACUGAGGUGCGAAAGCGUGGGGAGCAAACAGGAUUAGAUACCCUGGUAGUCCACGCCGUAAACGAUGUCAACUAGCCGUUGGGAGCCUUGAGCUCUUAGUGGCGCAGCUAACGCAUUAAGUUGACCGCCUGGGGAGUACGGCCGCAAGGUUAAAACUCAAAUGAAUUGACGGGGGCCCGCACAAGCGGUGGAGCAUGUGGUUUAAUUC
rnacentral:rRNA from 1 species